GACGAACGCUGGCGGCGUGCCUAAUACAUGCAAGUCGAGCGCAGGAAGCUGACGGAACUCUUCGGAGGGAAGACAGUGCAAUGAGCGGCGGACGGGUGAGUAACACGUAAGGAACCUGCCUCAAGGAUUGGGAUAACUCCGAGAAAUCGGAGCUAAUACCGGAUAGUUCAACGGACCGCAUGGUCCGCUGAUGAAGGGCGCUCCGGCGUCACCUUGAGAUGGCCUUGCGGUGCAUUAGCUAGUUGGUGGGGUAACGGCCCACCAAGGCGACGAUGCAUAGCCGACCUGAGAGGGUGAUCGGCCACACUGGGACUGAGACACGGCCCAGACUCCUACGGGAGGCAGCAGUAGGGAAUCUUCCACAAUGGACGAAAGUCUGAUGGAGCAACGCCGCGUGAGUGAUGAAGGUUUUCGGAUCGUAAAACUCUGUUGUAAGGGAAGAACACGUACGAGAGGAAAUGCUCGUACCUUGACGGUACCUUACGAGAAAGCCACGGCUAACUACGUGCCAGCAGCCGCCGUAA
rnacentral:rRNA from 1 species